rnacentral:rRNA from 1 species
AUGCUUAACACAUGCAAGUCGCACGAAGGCUUCGGCCUUAGUGGCGGACGGGUGAGUAACGCGUAGGAAUCUAUCCAUGGGUGGGGGAUAACUCCGGGAAACUGGAGCUAAUACCGCAUGAUACCUGAGGGUCAAAGGCGCAAGUCGCCUGUGGAGGAGCCUGCGUUUGAUUAGCUUGUUGGUGGGGUAAUGGCCUACCAAGGCGAUGAUCAAUAGCUGGUCUGAGAGGAUGAUCAGCCACACUGGGACUGAGACACGGCCCAGACUCCUACGGGAGGCAGCAGUGGGGAAUAUUGGACAAUGGGGGCAACCCUGAUCCAGCAAUGCCGCGUGUGUGAAGAAGGUUUUCGGAUUGUAAAGCACUUUCGGCGGGGACGAUGAUGACGGUACCCGCAGAAGAAGCCCCGGCUAACUUCGUGCCAGCAGCCGCGGUAAUACGAAGGGGGCUAGCGUUGCUCGGAAUGACUGGGCGUAAAGGGCGUGUAGGCGGUUUGUACGAGUAGAUGUGAAAUCCCCGGGCUUAACCUGGGAGC